GGGUUCUUCAGUGUUUCUUCAAUGUUUAUCAAUGGAGUUUAUCGUGUUUUCACCCUAACAGAUACUACAAAUCUAGAGUAUUCUAUGCUCUUCCACAAAUAUCUUUCUUAAAUAUCUAGCACUCUCUAAUAUCUAGAUCUUUCCUAAAUACAAAUAUCAAAUAACUACACUAUCCUUUUCUAGAUUCUUCUACCUAGAAUACAUAGAUAUUUCUUCAAGAUUAUCCUAUCUACUAGACUAUUCUAGAAACUUUACUAGAAAUCUAUGAUUCCAAAAAAUCUACAUUAAUAUUUUCACACUCCCCCUUAAAGUGAUUUUUUGAAAGCUACCCUAAACUUGUCACGGAAGAACUCAAACGAAGCUUUGAACCGAGCCUUGGUGAAAAUCUUAGCAGUUUUUGCAUAACUCCUCUUUUGCUUCUUUAAAUGAUAAAGAUUUUUCUUUUGUUAAUGACUGACCCUGCGGAGAUACUAGAAUAUGUAUUGGCAAAAUUUUCAUCUUUGUAGCGGACUAGCUUGAUAAUAGUCCUCGUUGGCCUUUGCAAAUCAUAUGAAUCACCUCUUUGCCAAGUUUCAUGUUGUUGGGUUUCUCAGAUUCCUCUUUCUCUUAUCUCUUCGACAACUAUAUUAUUCGGAGAAACACCUAUGAUAGGAAAGUAAGGAACUCCAAGAUUUCAUUUUUGUGUUACCUCUACUUCCAACACAACUCCAUGAUAUAAGGAAAUUUCAACAGUAUCAGCUACUUCAUUCAAGCUGGUGAUGAUCUGACCAUUAAUUUCCUUUGAAACCUCAUAACUAUCAGAGGGUUUACCACCAACUUCAUUUUCCAACUCCUCAAUAAACUGCCUAGCAUCUUCGGACAUUUCGAAAAUCAUGGGGUCUAUCUCUCUAUUUGAGAUUGAAAUUUCAGGGUCAGCUUCUUCAUUUAUUUGAUCUUUUGCUUUUUUAUCUACUUCUGGUAUUUUUUCCGCGCUAGUGAUUAACCUUGAUAUCGUAGAUGAUUGAUCAGAGACUUCAACUUCCAAUAUAUCUCCCUCAAUGUUUUCUUUGAAAAGGUCACCACUAAUAUGUAUAGUUUCAGACACUGCCUGCUCAGGUUCUAUUGCAAUAUUUUUCACGUUCAGACUUUUAUUGUCAAUUUCAAGAUCUACUUCUUUGAAUUCCUCGAUAGCAGCUACCACGCAUCUAGUCUGAACGUCUUCAGUAUCAUCUUGCUUCUUAUCAGUGUCUUCCUUCUUCACAUGAUGGAUUAUAUUAUAUCCGAUCCAAUCUCUUUCCAAAUUUAUGGAGGUCAAGACAUUUAUUACUCGACUCUCAGCUUGUAAGUAUCUUUUCCAACCUUCUUCUUCAAUAACUUUUUCAGUAUGAGUUAUGUUGCUCUCCGUGGCUCGGUAAUAUCUUUUUAUAUGUCCUGUUUUGCCAUAUCGAUAACAUCUGAGAGGUUUUUUAUAAUUGUUAAAAGACUCUUCAUUCUUUCCAGUUGAUACAAGCACGACCACGAAGGUGGACAUAUGUGAGAUGUAUUGAACCCGAGACUUAGAGUGUGCAAGUGAAGUGCAAAGGAGGGCCUAAAUAGACUCCAAAACAGUCCACACUCUACACUCCAAGGGCGCCUAAAGUGAAGUAUUUGACUAAGGGGUCUUUUGGACAUUUCACACUAUUUUUGUAACCUACUAUAAAUAGAACAUUUUAGGUCAUUUACUACUUAGAUUUUGAUGAAUAUUGAAAGUUGUAACACUUGAAACACUUUCUCUUGUGAGAAAGGGCCUCUGGGCCGAAACUAGGCAACAUAGAGUGUGGAUUUACUCUUGUUGGAUUCAUAGCUUGGAACGUUGGGUGCUUGAAGGAUUGAGGUCCCCCUUGUGUCCACCGAAGAGUGUAGGUGUUUGUAUGACAUGUUUUUAAGGGUCUUGGUAUUUUGAUUCAUACCUUGGUUCUUAGUAUAUGUAAUAUUGUAUGUCACACUAUUUAUCCUUUGUUUUCAUUGUAAUCUUGUAGUUUGUGUUCUUGUUAUUCAAACCGUGUGUUGUUGUUAUCAUCUUGUGUUUAUCUUGUUCUUGUUGUAUUGUUGUUGUUUUGGUGUUAAAAUACACCUUGUAUCUUGUAAUCCCUGUGUUGUUAUUGUUGGCCGAAAGUUGCUCUCAAAAGGGUCCUCGGGUUCUAGCUGAUUUGUGGAAUUUUUGAGUAGUUUUUUAGCCUUC
rnacentral:lncRNA from 1 species